GAGUUUGAUCCUGGUUCAGGACGAACGCUGGCGGCGUGCCUAACACAUGCAAGUCGAGCGGAGAGAUUGUCGUAUUUAUAUGACAUGAUCUUAGCGGCGGACGGGUGAGUAACACGUGGGUAACCUGCCUCAAAGUGGGGGAUAGCCUUUCGAAAGGAAGAUUAAUACCGCAUAAGAUUGUAGCAUCACAUGAUGCAGCAAGAAAAGGAGCAAUCCGCUUUGAGAUGGACCCGCGGCGCAUUAGCUAGUUGGUGAGGUAACGGCUCACCAAGGCCACGAUGCGUAGCCGACCUGAGAGGGUGAUCGGCCACAUUGGAACUGAGAUACGGUCCAGACUCCUACGGGAGGCAGCAGUGGGGAAUAUUGCACAAUGGGCGAAAGCCUGAUGCAGCAACGCCGCGUGAGUGAUGAAGGCUUUCGAGUCGUAAAGCUCUUUGAUCAGGGAUGAUAAUGACAGUACCUGAAAAACAAGCCACGGCUAACUACGUGCCAGCAGCCGCGGUAAUAC
rnacentral:rRNA from 1 species